UCAGGACAGCUUACAGCCUGAUAAUGCCUGAUCUCUUUGGUGCUUAAAAGCUAAGCAGGGUCUGUCCUUAAAAAUACUGGAUGGGAGACCAAUGGAUGAUAAUGUCCUGUUUUGCC
rnacentral:rRNA from 1 species